rnacentral:rRNA from 1 species
UACGGAGGGUGCAAGCGUUAAUCGGAAUUACUGGGCGUAAAGCGUGCGUAGACGGUCAUGUAAGUCGGGUGUGAAAGCCCCGGGCUCAACCUGGGAAUUGCAUUCGAGACUGCGUGGCUAGGGUGCGGAAGAGGGAAGCGGAAUUUCCGGUGUAGCGGUGAAAUGCGUAGAUAUCUGGAGGAACACCGGUGGCGAAGGCGGCAUCCUGGACCGGCAUUGACGCUGAGGCGCGAAAGCCAGGGGAGCAAACGGG